AUGAUGAAUCCGGGAAAACAAUGGCUAGUUUGGGAAGGAAGAAAACUCUUAAGGAAACGUCCAGAGCCUGCAUAUAUUCCUGCCGGAGAUUCCUAGCGCCCAGUUUGGGGGUUGGGGUGGGGAAUGAGCAGGGUUGGGGU
rfam:Myotis brandtii contig110800, whole genome shotgun sequence.